CCUUGCAUGAGCAGAACCAUCGUUAAGUACCUUUGUUUCUAUCCAAAUUGUCAUAAUAUAAGAUUGUCCUAAAAUCAAUGGAUAAGAUGUUGUAUCUUGAACAAAGAAAUGUUGUUCUGUCACAAUAUCUCCAAUCCAAAUUUUGACAUCAGGACAAGCUUCAUAUAAUUUGCCUCAUGUGUUAUUAGCUGCUCGUAUUGUCCAUCCAUGUUCCAUAUCAAUUGGC
rnacentral:lncRNA from 1 species